UACAGAGGGUGCAAGCGUUAAUCGGAAUUACUGGGCGUAAAGGGCGCGUAGGCGGUGAGAUUAGUGUGAUGUGAAAGCCCCGGGCUUAACCUGGGAAGUGCAUCGCAAACGAUCUGACUGGAGUAUAAGAGAGGGUGGCGGAAUUUCCGGUGUAGCGGUGAAAUGCGUAGAGAUCGGAAGGAACGUCAAUGGCGAAGGCAGCCACCUGGCUUAAUACUGACGCUGAGGCGCGAAAGCGUGGGGAGCGAACAGG
rnacentral:rRNA from 1 species